CGCUCGUUCUUCGCGAAGCUCCAAGGAUCUUCUCUCGAGUUCAGUUCUUUGUGCGGACACAAUUUGGACCUGGAAUUAAGAUCCCGAUCAGCCGGACUUUCAAAAAGGCAAUGGAAAUAGAGGAGACCUUGCGUAUCGAAAAACUUCGCCCGCGCAGGUCCAUUGGUCUCCCAUCAUCAUUAAGAAAGAUCGAGUCGGCGGAGAAUUGUUCAAGAACUUCAUUGUCUCCGACUUGAGGCCCCGAAGAGCCCCAUCGCCAACGCGAGGGUCUUGCCUAAGUGGCGCGCUCGCUUCCACGCUUUCGUGGCUCACCUCAGUGCCUCUGGAUUAUAACGCAGCACGCCAGAAAUCCGGAAUUCACUUCGCCCAUUACUAGGAUAAUAUACGGUACACAAUGAUAUUCCCCGUUCGAUUACAAAACC
rnacentral:lncRNA from 1 species